UACAGAGGGUGCAAGCGUUGUUCGGAAUUAUUGGGCGUAAAGCGCGUGUAGGCGGCUUUGCAAGUCGGGUGUGAAAGCCCUCAGCUCAACUGAGGAAGUGCGCCCGAAACUGCAGAGCUUGAGUACCGGAGAGGAUGGCGGAAUUCCCCAAGUAGAGGUGAAAUUCGUAGAUAUGGGGGAGGAACACCGGUGGCGAAGGCGGCCAUCUGGACGGAUACUGACGCUGAGACGCGAAAAGCGUGGGUAGCAAACAGG
rnacentral:rRNA from 1 species